UGCUGGAGGUAUCAGAAGUGCGAAUGCUGACAUAAGUAACGAUAAAGCGGGUGAAAAGCCCGCUCGCCGGAAGACCAAGGGUUCCUGUCCAACGUUAAUCGGGGCAGGGUGAGUCGACCCCUAAGGCGAGGCCGAAAGGCGUAGUCGAUGGGAAACGGGUUAAUAUUCCCGUACUUGGUGUUACUGCGAAGGGGGGACGGAGAAGGCUAUGUUGGCCGGGCGACGGUUGUCCCGGUUUAAGCGUGUAGGUGUGUGUUCCAGGUAAAUCCGGUUCACUUUAACACUGAGGCGUGACGACGAGGCACUACGGUGCUGAAGCAACAAAUGCCCUGCUUCCAGGAAAAGCCUCUAAGCAUCAGGUAACANGAAAUCGUACCCCAAACCGACACAGGUGGUCAGGUAGAGAAUACCAAGGCGCUUGAGAGAACUCGGGUGAAGGAACUAGGCAAAAUGGUGCCGUAACUUCGGGAGAAGGCACGCUGACACGUAGGUGAAGUGAUUUACUCANGGAGCUGAAGUCAGUCGAAGAUACCAGCUGGCUGCAACUGUUUAUUAAAAACACAGCACUGUGCAAACACGAAAGUGGACGUAUACGGUGUGACGCCUGCCCGGUGCCGGAAGGUUAAUUGAUGGGGUCAGCGNAAGCGAAGCUCCUGAUCGAAGCCCCGGUAAACGGCGGCCGUAACUAUAACGGUCCUAAGGUAGCGAAAUUCCUUGUCGGGUAAGUUCCGACCUGCACGAAUGGCGUAAUGAUGGCCAGGCUGUCUCCACCCGAGACUCAGUGAAAUUGAACUCGCUGUGAAGAUGCAGUGUACCCGCGGCAAGACGGAAAGACCCCGUGAACCUUUACUAUAGCUUGACACUGAACAUUGAGCCUUGAUGUGUAGGAUAGGUGGGAGGCUUUGAAGUGUGGACGCCAGUCUGCAUGGAGCCGACCUUGAAAUACCACCCUUUAAUGUUUGAUGUUCUAACGUGGACCCGUAAUCCGGGUUGCGGACAGUGUCUGGUGGGUAGUUUGACUGGGGCGGUCUCCUCCUAAAGAGUAACGGAGGAGCACGAAGGUUGGCUAAUCCUGGUCGGACAUCAGGAGGUUAGUGCAAUGGCAUAAGCCAGCUUGACUGCGAGCGUGACGGCGCGAGCAGGUGCGAAAGCAGGUCAUAGUGAUCCGGUGGUUCUGAAUGGAAGGGCCAUCGCUCAACGGAUAAAAGGUACUCCGGGGAUAACAGGCUGAUACCGCCCAAGAGUUCAUAUCGACGGCGGUGUUUGGCACCUCGAUGUCGGCUCAUCACAUCCUGGGGCUGAAGUAGGUCCCAAGGGUAUGGCUGUUCGCCAUUUAAAGUGGUACGCGAGCUGGGUUUAGAACGUCGUGAGACAGUUCGGUCCCUAUCUGCCGUGGGCGCUGGAGAACUGAGGGGGGCUGCUCCUAGUACGAGAGGACCGGAGUGGACGCAUCACUGGUGUUCGGGUUGUCAUGCCAAUGGCACUGCCCGGUAGCUAAAUGCGGAAGAGAUAAGUGCUGAAAGCAUCUAAGCACGAAACUUGCCCCGAGAUGAGUUCUCCCUGAGACUUAGAGUCUCCUGAAGGAACGUUGAAGACGACGACGUUGAUAGGCCGGGUGUGUAAGCGCAGCGAUGCGUUGAGCUAACCGGUACUAAUGAACCGUGAGGCUUAACCUUACAACGCCGAAG
rnacentral:rRNA from 1 species